rnacentral:lncRNA from 1 species
UAUAAAAGUCUAACUCAAAUUUUUACUCUCGCAGUUAAACCAUGUCCCCCUCAAACUCUUUAGCCUGCAUCUUUGAAAUCAAUCAUUUGAUCGAUAUAAAUUACAAUGACUGGCUCAAAAAUCUCAAGAUUGUCCUGAUCUUAGAAAAAUUAAGUCAUGUACUCGAUCAGAAACCUAUAGUGUUACUAAACUGUCCUACUACUGAGC